GCAAGAACUGAGCGUCCAGCGCCCGGCGAGCAGGUGCCUGUGGCGCGGAGCGCACCAGGGAGCCAGCAGGCAGUGGCCUGAUUCAUCCUGAAAUUCUCUGUGUGUUUUAAGAGCCAGGAUAUUCCUGAAUGGGUUCUCAGUAGCGCAUCUCCAGGCUGCCAAGGAAGACUGGUCACAUUCCUGAGAACUGACUUUCUGCAAAGCCUCCCAGAGAGCCCAAAUUUAGGACACUUGAAGUGAGAGAAGAUGCCUUCUCUGUUAUGCCUGUAAACAUAAGAAACGCUUUACAAAGUUCUGGAAAGAAGAGAAAACAGCUCUCUGUUAGAGCGACAGCUCCAGGACAUCCUAUUGGCAUAGAAGCAAAGACAUGGAAGGACCUCCUGAACUUCCAACAGAGGCAACAGGCAAUCAUUAAAAACUAGGAGGUGAAGAAACUGGAACACUUGGAAGUUAGCAAGAGCAGAGGUAGAGAUGUCCAUCCUAUGUCUGUGGAUUCAAGAAGUUGUGCAGAACCUGGAUGUUUUCUGUUUCUGAGUUCCUCCUCCUGCCCUAACACCUUCACAGUAGAGGGAGAAACAGAUGGGGUGGAGCAACUAUAAGACUACAGAACACUGGGAGGUCAGAGCACCUAUACUUUAGGGCAUUCUAUAAAUCAAGCUGUCACAAUCUUCUGAGCCAGCUCUCAAGAAGCAUGUAGACUUUUUAUGAUGGGUUUGUUUUUGUACCUGUUCUUCCUACUAGCUACUGAACUGGAACUGUAGAGUAUGUGGAACUGUGAACAGAGCAAAGGAAAAGCCCUCUUACAUAUAAUCUCCAGGGGCCAACAAGGAGCUGGACAUUGAAAUCUACCUGUUGCGUGGCCCUAUUCAUCAAAAGACAAGAAUAGAUUACCUAGUCACCCCAGAUAGGGAACCAAAGGAUGCCACCAAAGUCCAACUUUGUGAAUCUCUGUCUUUUGUUGGAGUUACUUAUGAUAGAAAUGACUCUCUGAAACUGUAAACCAGCCCCAAUUAAAUACUUCCUUUUUAUAAAAAAUUGUUGUGGUCAUGGUGUCUCUUCAGAGUAUUGGAGCACUGACUAGGACAGUAUGCGUGGGGAAGGAGGGGUCCAGUGAAUCUUGAAGUUUCAGGAAUUUCUGAGGCUUAUGAAUCUACUUUCUUUUAGCUUUAUAAGCUUCCAUGCAGGAUAAACACUUUCACCACCCUGAGAGCAUCCUGUUGUUUCUCCUCUAUUUACAUCCUACAUCAUAAAAAUGUUCUGUCUAAAAUGGGAGGGUCUAAUUGUAAAGGAAGCCAUUGCUCAACAGCAUUUUUGCCCAUGGAAAUUUGAGAACUCUCCCCAGGUUAGAUGUCACCUGUCAAGUCACAAGAACACAGAGAACAAUGGCAAUAAAA
rnacentral:sRNA from 1 species